rnacentral:tRNA from 1 species
GCCCAGAUAGCUCAGUUGGUAGAGCAAAGGAUUGAAGCUCCUUGUGUCCAUGGUUCGAUUCCGUGUCUGGGCACCA